rnacentral:other from 1 species
UUCCCUGCAUAGUACGUAUAGACAGAAUUUUUAGAACCAACACACAUUUAAGAGGGGCUAAUCUCUAGAAUAUGGCGUGCAAGCUCACAUGAUAUAGUGAGAAGCCCAUGAAUAUUCAGGUAGGCACCCACCUGUUUUUAGGAGCAGGUCCUUAAAAAUUCAAGACAUCUGACGGCUAAGGCGGGGGUU